GUCAUCGAAGUGAUUUUGAACAACAUAGCCCAUGGCUUGGGUACACUCUGCGCGAGACUGGUGGCCGUCAUCAUAAAGAUUGCUGUCUGCGUCAAGGGAUGCCCUGGUGACAAGGGCAUCUGCACUAAGGCCUGGAACCAGAGGUUCAAGAUCGACGGAGACGGCUCCACCGGCGCUGAUCUCAUCAGGAACUUCUACCUCUCCAAGGCUGAGAACGAAUACGAUGGCUACGUAAAGAAGUGCACUAAAGGAAAGGGAAUCUCAGCGUUACAAAGAAAUUCCAUCCGAAUUGUUCUCGAGAAGAUCUACAUCCUUAUUAAGAUUAUAUU